rnacentral:rRNA from 1 species
UACGAAGGGGGCUAGCGUUGCUCGGAAUUACUGGGCGUAAAGGGCGCGUAGGCGGACAGUUUAGUCAGAGGUGAAAGCCCAGGGCUCAACCCUGGAAUUGCCUUUGAUACUGGCUGUCUUGAGUACGGGAGAGGUGUGUGGAACUCCGAGUGUAGAGGUGAAAUUCGUAGAUAUUCGGAAGAACACCAGUGGCGAAGGCGACACGCUGGGCCGUACCUGACACUGAUGCGCGACAGCAUGGGGAGCAAACAGG